CGCGUACGAUCCCGGCUCCCUCACGAGGCAAGGCCGGCUGAGGCGGAGGCCCACCCAGUCAUUCCCUUUCCUUUGGUCUCGCAAUCACAUGUUCCAACUUCCAAGCGUCCGCCGCCGCCGCCGAAUCCUCCGUCGUACGUGGCUGGUCCCCGUCUCCAGCGCCAGCCUCUCGGUCCACCACACGCACCUUCUGGAUCUCGCCCAGAACUACCAUGAAAGAGAAGGUUUCAAAUUGGCAAGGAUUCCCCCUGGUCCUGUUAUCAAGAUGCUAGAUUAGGGAGCAAAGAGCAAGCAGGAGGCCACCUACUCGUGCAGCAGUCAUACCCCACCAUCAUUCUUCAGGACAAAGACCCCCCAAGUACACUGCUAGAACAACACAACUGACGCCAAGGAAACACAAAUGGACAAGAUGCAAUGCUUGCUGAUGAGUAGACUUCCUAGUAGGAUUUUUGAGAUAUUUCAAAUGUGGAGCAGACUUCAUGACAAAUGUUGUACCACACUAUAGUUGAUUGCUCUCCCCAACAAUUUCCAACUAUAAUAUAAAGUUGUACACUGUAUCUUUUCAUCUGAAGUACAUAUGAAUCAAAUU
rnacentral:rRNA from 1 species